AAGCCGUGAAUUGUCUGUCCAGGGUGGGAAAAGGCCUGAAUCUUCUCACUCCAGACACCGACCCUAGAGUUCCUCUUCAUGGUCCGCCUUGAGCAAGCCCAGCUCUGUUCACAGCCCCGCGCCUGAUUAAUUGUGCAGUUUUGGAUUUGUGAGAGUCAGCCUGUUUUUUUCCAGAUGAGAGCCACUCGGAGCAAAAACAAAGGUGACCUUGCUGUGCCACGUCGGAGCGUAAUGGGUUGCUGUGCUUCAUUCGUGAGGUCAUAUCAGCAGCACCUGCGAGGACUGUGUUGCUUGCGGAGUGUGGAAUGGAGGGGAGGCCUGUGCCAUUCUCCUGGCUGGCCGAGAUGGCGUAAUGGGAACUGCCAGCUGUGAUGGUAAUUACAGCACCACUAAAGAAGACGGGGGCUGUUUUUCUUCAGGGGGCUUACAGCUCAACUGAUUUUUCAUUUACAUGUUUUAAGUAAGAUG
ensembl:processed_transcript